GACGGAAGGUGCAAGCGUUGCUCGGAAUCACUGGGCGUAAAGGGCGCGUAGGCGGGGAGGUAAGUCGGGUGUGAAAUCCCUCGGCCCAACCGAGGAACUGCGCCCGAGACUGCUUCUCUUGAGUCCCGGAGAGGAAGGUGGAAUUCCCGGUGUAGCGGUGAAAUGUGUAGAGAUCGGGAGGAACACCGGUGGCGAAGGCGGCCUUCUGGACGGUGACUGACGCUGAGGCGCGAAAGCGUGGGGAGCGAAACGGG
rnacentral:rRNA from 1 species